GAUCAGUCAAUCUGAGUCAGUCGUCUUAAAAUACAGAAACGCGAACCAAGUACAUAGGAAAGUAAGAGGAUCUAACUAUUAUUUUAAAUACUAAGCGGAUAUGCUGUAUGGGCAGGAAAUAGUACCGGAUGUAAGAUAGUCACUUUGAGGACUUCUGGCAUCAAAGGAUGAUUCAAAAACCUGCCCAUAUUCAUCCUCGGCUAUUUCCUCCACGUCUUCCCAUUCUUCGUCGUCAAUAGGAAUCUCGCCACUCCCAACCUAUCGAAUACCUUAGUGAAAUAAUGCACGCCAGCAAAUUCCAAAAGGGUCGCUAUGCAGUAUCCGAAGCUCAUUAAAAGAAACCAAUCUAAAGCUGUUGCAUAUCUGACCUUAGAAUGAUAUUGCUGCUACUUGCCAAGACCAACUCUGUCGCUAGUGGCUUCACGAUGAAUCCAAAAGGACACCCAGCUGAGUACAACUAUCAGAACACACGGCACGUAUACCUGAA